CUACAUCAGAUGCUUCAACAUGUAUUGGACGUAUAUUUUGUGUUUACUGUGCGCGAUGUGCCUUAUAAUAGACCUAUCGAAGUCCAUCGAACUAAGCCAGUUGGGUGACAAGUUGGUGGACCAGUUGACCGACAAGUCAACUGUUCGCGCCAAGAGAGAAGUCAUCAGCGGCGGCAGCAGAUGCCCCGAUGGGUACAAGAGAGCUGGGCCUUAUUGCAUCAAAAUAAGAUAGGAACACGUGAUAAUGGGACUUCUGUUCCAUCUGCCUGAGUGUGUCGACUACUGAGCUGCUGAAGCCCAAGAACCGGAUGUUGGGAGCACAGCGAAAGUUAUAAAGAGUUUACAGAAAUUUGUUAUUGAAGAUUCAAAGUGGAUAUUUUGGAGAUUAAUGUUACUUAUUGAACUGUUAUUAAUAAAUGUUCAUUUCGUUAAUUA